GCAGGCUGUUCUGAAAAUUGUGUUUGGACGGAAUAUGCUACCAGAAGUCCAUCAACAAUCGAAACAAAGUUAUUUAAGCAGAGGUCUCUUUUUAAAUGUUUGUAUUUCGGUACAUUUGCGUCAUCAGUGCGAGUGCCACCCUGAGUCCUAGCAGCAGAUGUUUACUGCUGUAGCCAGGGAUCUCAGGAAGAGAAGUUACGCUCUGCUCUCAAGGCCUCUGGAGUUCCCUGGGCAUCCCUCAUUUCCUCUCAUCCUAUGUGGGAUUGGAUCACACCACCCUCUGGUUGGCCAUCUGUUUCUCUAAUAUAUAGAAAAUGAUCACAGUGCAAAGCCUCUUUCUAUUAAACCUA